AUACGUAGGGUGCAAGCGUUAAUCGGAAUUACUGGGCGUAAAGCGUGCGCAGGCGGUUUUGUAAGACAGUGGUGAAAUCCCCGGGCUCAACCUGGGAACUGCCAUUGUGACUGCAAGGCUGGAGUGCGGCAGAGGGGGAUGGAAUUCCGCGUGUAGCAGUGGAAUGCGUAGAUAUGCGGAGGAACACCGGUGGCGAAGGCAAUCCCCUGGGCCUGCACUGGCGCUCAUGCACGAAAGCGUGGGGAGCAAACAGGAUUAGAUACCCGGGUAGUCCACGCCCUAAACGAUGUCAACUGGUUGUUGGGGAUUUAUUUUCUCAGUAACGAAGCUAACGCGUGAAGUUGACCGCCUGGGGAGUACGGCCGCAAGGUUAAAACUCAAAUGAAUUGACGGGU
rnacentral:rRNA from 1 species